UACGAAGGGGACUAGCGUUGUUCGGAAUUACUGGGCGUAAAGCGCACGCAGGCGGAUUGAUUAGUCGGGGGUGAAAUCCCGGGGCUCAACCCCGGAACUGCCUUUGAUACUGGGUGUCUCGAGUCCGGAAGAGGUGAGUGGAACUCCGAGUGUAGAGGUGAAAUUCGUAGAUAUUCGGAGGAACACCAGUGGCGAAGGCGGCUCACUGGUCCGGUACUGACGCUGAGGUGCGAAAGCGUGGGGAGCAAACAGG
rnacentral:rRNA from 1 species